GAUGAAGAACGUAGCAAAAUGCGAUACUUGGUGUGAAUUGCAGAAUCCCGUUAACCAUCGAGUUUUUGAACGCAAGUUGCGCCCGAAGCCUUUUGGCCGAGGGCACGUCUGCCUGGGCGUCACGCAUCGCGUCGCCCCCCACAAUUCUCCGUAAAGGGAACGUGUGUUUUGGGGGCGGAUAUUGGUCUCCCGUGCUCAUGGCGUGGUUGGCCGAAAUAGGAGUCCUUUCGAUGGACGCACGAACUAGUGGUGGUCGUAAAAACCCUCGUCUUUUGUUUCGUGCUGUUGCUCGCAAGGUAAACUCUUUAAAAACCCCAAUGUGUCGUCUCUUGACGACGCUUCGACCGCGACCCCAGGUCAGGCGGGACUACCCGCUGAGUUUAAGCAUAUCAAUAAGCGGAGGA
rnacentral:misc_RNA from 1 species